rnacentral:rRNA from 1 species
UACAGAGGGUGCAAGCGUUAAUCGGAAUUACUGGGCGUAAAGCGCACGUAGGUGGCUGGGUAAGUUGGAUGUGAAAUCCCCGGGCUUAACUUGGGAAAUUGCAUUCAAGACUGCCUUGCUAGAGUGUGGAAGAGGGAAGCGGAAAUUCCAGGUGUAGCGGUGAAAUGCGUAGAUAUCUGGAGGAACAUCAGUGGCGAAGGCGGCUUCCUGGUCCAACACUGACACUGAGGGUGCGAAAGCGUGGGGAGCAAACAG